GACGAACGCUGGCGGCGUGCCUAAUACAUGCAAGUAGGACGCAGUUGCGAACGGGUGAGUAACGCGUAGGUCACUGCCUAUUAGAGGGGGAUAACUAUUGGAAACGAUAGCUAAUACCGCAUACUAGUAGAUGGACCUGCGUUGUAUUAGCUAGUAGGUAGGGUAAUGGCCUACCUAGGCGACGAUGCCUAGCCGGGCUGGGAGGGUGAACGGGCACAAUGGGAAUGGGACACAGCCGAGACUCCUACGGGGGGCAGCAGUAGGGACUCUUCGGCAAUGGGGGGAACCCUGGCCGAGCAAAGCCGCAGGAGUGAAGAAGGUUUUCGGAUCGUAAAGCUCUGUUGUUAAGGAAGCGGUACUUAACCAGAAAGGGACGGCUAACUACGUGCCAGCCGCCGCGGUAAUAC
rnacentral:rRNA from 1 species